rnacentral:rRNA from 1 species
UUUAUGGAGAGUUUGAUCCUGGCUCAGGAUGAACGCUGGCGGCGUGCCUAAUACAUGCAAGUCGAGCGAACGGACGAGAAGCUUGCUUCUCUGAUGUUAGCGGCGGACGGGUGAGUAACACGUGGAUAACCUACCUAUAAGACUGGGAUAACUUCGGGAAACCGGAGCUAAUACCGGAUAAUAUUUUGAACCGCAUGGUUCAAAAGUGAAAGACGGUCUUGCUGUCACUUAUAGAUGGAUCCGCGCUGCAUUAGCUAGUUGGUAAGGUAACGGCUUACCAAGGCAACGAUGCAUAGCCGACUUGAGAGGGUGAUCGGCCACACUGGAACUGAGACACGGUCCAGACUCCUACGGGAGGCAGCAGUAGGGAAUCUUCCGCAAUGGGCGAAAGCCUGACGGAGCAACGCCGCGUGAGUGAUGAAGGUCUUCGGAUCGUAAAACUCUGUUAUUAGGGAAGAACAUAUGUGUAAGUAACUGU